rfam:Toxocara canis scaffold1066, whole genome shotgun sequence.
UGGGCAGUAGCUUAGUGGAAGAGCUCCCGCUUAGUAUGCGGGAAGAUCUGGGUUCGAUUCCCGGCUUCUUAC